GUGGGGAAUAUUGGACAAUGGGCGAAAGCCUGAUCCAGCCAUGCCGCGUGUGUGAAGAUGGUCUUCGGAUUGUAAAGCACUUUAAGUUGGGAGGAAGGGCAGUAAGUUAAUACCUUGCUGUUUUGACGUUACCGACAGAAUAAGCACCGGCUAACUUCGUGCCAGCAGCCGCGGUAAUACGAAGGGUGCAAGCGUUAAUCGGAAUUACUGGGCGUAAAGCGCGCGUAGGUGGUUUUGUAAGUUGGAGGUGAAAUCCCCGGGCUCAACCUGGGAACUGCCUCCAAAACUGCAUGACUAGAGUACGGUAGAGGGUAGUGGAAUUUCCUGUGUAGCGGUGAAAUGCGUAGAUAUAGGAAGGAACACCAGUGGCGAAGGCGACUACCUGGACUGAUACUGACACUGAGGUGCGAAAGCGUGGGGAGCAAACAGGAUUAGAUACCCGGGUAGUCC
rnacentral:rRNA from 1 species